rnacentral:rRNA from 1 species
AACGAACGCUGGCGGCAUGCCUAACACAUGCAAGUCGAACGAGACCUUCGGGUCUAGUGGCGCACGGGUGCGUAACGCGUGGGAACUUGCCCUUAGGUUCGGAAUAACUCCCCGAAAGGGGUGCUAAUACCGGAUAAUCUCUUCGGACCAAAGAUUUAUCGCCUUUGGAUGGGCCCGCGUUGGAUUAGCUAGUUGGUAGGGUAAAAGCCUACCAAGGCGACGAUCCAUGGCUGGUCUGAGAGGAUGAUCCGCCACACUGGGACUGAGACACGGCCCAGACUCCUACGGGAGGCAGCAGUGGGGAAUAUUAGACAAUGGGCGAAAGCCUGAUCCAGCAAUGCCGCGUGAGUGAUGAAGGCCUUAGGGUUGUAAAGCUCUUUUACCCGGGAUGAUAAUGACAGUACCGGGAGAAUAAGCUCCGGCUAACUCCGUG